rnacentral:rRNA from 4 species
GAUGAACGCUGGCGGCGUGCCUAACACAUGCAAGUCGAACGGAGAAUUUACGCUGAUGAAGCUUCGGCAGAUUCUUGUAAAUUCUUAGUGGCGGACGGGUGAGUAACGCGUGGGCAACCUGCCUCAUACUGGGGGAUAACAGCUGGAAACGACUGUUAAUACCGCAUAAGCGCACGGUAUCGCAUGAUACAGUGUGAAAAACUCCGGUGGUAUGAGAUGGGCCCGCGUCAGAUUAGCCAGUUGGCAGGGUAACGGCCUACCAAAGCGACGAUCUGUAGCCGGCCUGAGAGGGCGGACGGCCACAUUGGGACUGAGACACGGCCCAAACUCCUACGGGAGGCAGCAGUGGGGGAUAUUGCACAAUGGAGGAAACUCUGAUGCAGCGACGCCGCGUGAGUGAAGAAGUAUUUCGGUAUGUAAAGCUCUAUCAGCAGGGAAGAAAGACUCGUAAGAGAGAUGACGUAC